rnacentral:lncRNA from 1 species
CUUCCGACCUUGUCUCCGUUUGUGGUUUCGUUCGUGGGUGAUCCGAAUCAUUUUUCAGCCAGGAAAUUUCUCUUUUUAACUCGAGCAUCCUUGUGUACAAACUAUUUCAUGCAGUUUUCGAACAAUCAAAGAAUGAUUUUGGACCCUAAUUUUUGUCACCAAAAGCCUGAGAAUACCGUUAUUUUGCCUCCUGAAAAUUGGGAAUCAUGCCAAAGGAGUCCUGUAUGGCGUUAGUGUGGAAAGGACGCGACCGUGUGUUGAGGAUAUGGCCUUGCUCACUGUACUAUCAUACGUACAGACAGGCACUUAUUGACACAGUGUAUUGCAUAUGAGCCGAGUGGAUGUCUGGCAUCUAUUACUUUACCAUGAGUGAUGUGGGAAGGACGACAGCCGCUGCCCAUACAUUUUGCAGGACGGAGUGGUCUGGAAUCCUACAGCCACCAUGCAACUACUUCAUGUUACCAAACCUGAUCCAGGAGCGGGUGCUGUCUGGUUUGCUUCAUAAGCAUCUGUCUUCAUUCAACUGAUGAUGGCUGAUCAGGGAUACCCAUCUGUGAACUUCACCCUCCAUCAACGGGCAGGCAUUACCUUGAAGGACAGUGGAUAUAACAAGGGAGAUUGCUGACAGCCAGGUGAUGACCAGCAUCUUUCACCAGCAGUCUCCUGGUCUUGCACUGCAUCUCUAAUUUCUUGCCACCACGGGUGGAUGUUUCAGUCAAGAGAGUUUACUCUACUACUCUGUCAUGCGAUGAGCGCUAGCGCAUCCCGUUGAGGAAGCUAGUAGCUACGGAGGAGCAAAGUUCAAGUUCACAAACCUUAUGUUUGAUGGCAGCCACUAGAGAUCCUGGAUGCUGACUCUGCCUAGGUUUUCCUGCUUUCCUGCCAAGAAGACGCUGCUCUUGAUGCUGGAAUGCCCUGAUACUGCACCACUUUGUGAUGACUUCAAACAUCAGAGAAACUACAUCCAAGGUGCCUUAGGCCUAUUUACAAUGUACUAGGCUGUUCAAUGAGAAAAAAAAGGUUAAAUGGGCAAUUCCAUGCUGGUGGAGACACAAGACCAAAAUAUAAAUUUGACAUUUGUUCAAGCGUGUUUUGCUGAAGUGACACUUUAGAACUUGGCGCUUUUAAAAUUGAAACUGUUUCGUCCGAUUCGCGCACCAUUUUGUAAAGUUACACGAUCACAUCAAAGUCUGCGGUGACAUCCUGAUGACUUAUGGUAAGGAAUUUUGAAUACAUCUUUUGCAAACUUUUUUCAGUAGUAAUUUCCCUCAAUUUUUUAUGUUACCGUUUUGAGGGCGUCUUUGUGAAAAUGGAUUUGAUUUUUUAAUCGUCAAUUUUAGUCAGAUUUUGCUUGUAAAAUGAGAUACAAAUUUAUGUAUCACUCAUCAAAAGUGAUUUUGUUAUCCUUGUUCUAAUACCUACAUUUUCUGGCCAGGGAAUUAUUCUGAUACAUUUUUUCUUCGUAGAGUUUUGAUGAGAAGUGAAUAAAUAGUUUUGUUUUUACAAUUUUGUUUAGGCCAGCUAGAAAUACAUGUAGUGUAAAUGCCAGCCACAUGUACAUGCAAUGUCAUACAGUCACAACCUCUUAGUAUUGAAUGAAGUGUCAGCCACAUUAAUGUGUAGUCUGUAGUUGCAGAAAAUACAAGUACACAUGUUAUUUUAUUCCAUUCCCAGACAAGUUAUUUUUAACCCAAAUGGAACAAAGCCACCAUCUGAGCAACAUUUAUAUAUAUUUCACAAAACAAGUCUCUUUAAACUUAAAUGUGGACAUCUAUAACCCUUUAAAAAGAAUCAGGGAAAAUGUAUUUGUUUUUGCGGCUUUUAGGCAUAAGAAGUAUAUUAUUUUGCAUUCUGAUGGGGUGGGGAAGUCUUCCCUGUGAGAGCUGAAUUAUUACUUGGCACCAAAUAGUUUGAUAUUCAUAAUUCCCUAGUACUAAACAUUGGCUGGUUUUAAUAGUUUAUUGUCUUAUUCGUUCAUUGGACAACCUUUGUACUGCUGGACGAAUAGCAAUUAAAAUUUGUUAAUGUAAACAUGGAUGAAAUAUAAAAUAACUAUGUCAUGUCGUUGACUAUUUUAUAUUUUUCAGGGAAGAUCUGCACCAAAGUUGCAACGUACAGCCGGCAUGCAGCAUAGAGAAAGAUCCACACAGCAGAAACAAAACUUGGAAGAAAAGGAUUGUAUGAAGACCACAAGAGGAACAAGUGAAAGAGGAAUAGACAAAAAACAACAGAACAUAAGGAGUUUCAUAAGUGAGCAGAAAUAAACUAUGAGAAAAAGUAGUAAAAAUUGAGCACACAAUUUGUUUUUCACGUUGAGACCUCAAAUUGUUAGUAUAACAAAAAUGUGUUAUGCAAGUUUAAGUACACAGAUGUUAUUGGAGACAAUUUUAAUAUUAUUUGGGUCAAUUACCAAAAUUUCUUAUCUUAUCUGCUUCGUGUUCUUUUUUUUGGGGGGGGGGGUGUGGUAUAUAGCUUUUCAUUAUGUCUGUGUUUUUUGUUAAACUCUAAAAAAAUCUCUGAGUUUGAAUAUUGAAAAGUUAUUUUGCUCUUGCUUAUAGUCGAUUGUUGGAAAUUAUAAAGAAAGUAAAACCUGAACCUGAACGGAAAGUUUUCAAUACACAUUCUCAAUUAAUAAAACUUUCAUUUUACAUCUCUGUAUAUGUAAACACUGUAAUACUGGCUAUGGCAUGUGCGAUGAAUAAAUGGAAUGACGUAAAGAGAAAUUUCCUAUUUGUUCUAUCAUUUGUUUCCUGUGUUGCUUUUAUAUAAUGUCGCAAUAAAGAAAGAGUUCUGUAAGUGAUGGACAGAAAAGAUCAAUGUGUUUGUAUCACCAGGUGUACAUGUAAUUAGGUCCAACUAUUUCUUAUGCUGGUUGUUUUUUGGAACAGAAUUAGCUGCCAACAGGUUGAAAAAAAGUAGACACUUUUUGCAUUCAGAAAAAUAAUGAUGCCUGAUUGGUAUAUUUGUAUGAUACAGCAUACAGCUAAUUAGUGUACACAAAUGUGACGUCGUGUUCAAAUUUCAGUUUCAGCAUGGCACCUCCGAGUUUACAUAGUGAGGAAAUCGCGUCAUUUCUUGUCACAAAACGCUCAAUAUUCACUACACCGUGAAAAGUUUAAACUCUUAACGGUGUCCAAUUCCAAUUUCAAUCCAAAAUUGUCUUUAACAUAACAUUUAGAACGAGAGGGGGUUAUCAUUUUUUUUAAAUGGAAGAAAUUUGGAGCAAGAAUAGGGAAAUUUGAAAUAAGUACCUAUAUAUGUCACUUUUUUGUGUCGCGUUCGAGAAUUGCAGUGAUAGCAUGCGUAAAUUAUUAGGAAUACCUGAUUUUUUAUUCUUGAUGCGAAUUCCAAACCUGCAAAAAGUCUUGUCACCAUGGAAUUGCCCGAAUACUUGCUUAAACUAUAAAUGUUCUGAUUUCUAAAGUUAGUUGCUUUCAAUAGUAUUUCUGAUUAUUGAUGUAUUUUUUAGUGAUGUAAUUUGUUUUCAAAUUACUGUACUAAAUUGUGUAUUCAUCUUGUAGAUAAUUAAGCCCAUUCAGUCACUCAGUGUAAUUGAGAAAUGAAGCAAUAUCACAUGUGAAUUAAGGUUUUUGUUUGUACAUUAAUGAAUGUUGACAGUUGCUCCUAAAAAUCACCUGAAUUUAAAGAAUGUUGCUCUUUCAAUUUUGCAAUCAAAUUGUUUAAGAUAAAAAUUAAAAAGUGUGUAAAUAAAAAGCGCCCUCUAUCAUGAAUCGCUCACAACUGUAUAAUUAAAGAUCACAAUGACAUAGUUUAAACUUCCGAUUUUAAAUUGAAAUGUGUGUUUACAUAUUAAUGAGUGAAAUUAAUGUUGUUUAAUUGGGCACUCCAAUUUUGGUUAAAAAAAAUUAGUCUGAAUGAGAAGCGCCCUCUAUUGCCCCUGAAUUUGCUCAUGACUGCUUUCAAUGCAUGAUCCACAAUAACAAGUGGCGUAAACAUUGGCAAGAAAUUAAUUCUGGGUUGAAAGUCACCGAGUACUUUUAAGGAAAACAAGAGCCCUAAAUGUUUGCUUUUUGAGAUGGCCUAAAAUUUAUGGAAAGAAAAAGGAAUUAGCAAAUAAAAAUGUUCAUGAAAAUAAUUUGAGUGUAAUGAAAUAAGAUUGCAUAGAAUCAAGUCUGAUAGACACAAGUAAUUAGAUGUUAGACUGGCUAUAUAGAGGGCAUCAUGUAACAUACAUUUGUAGUUAUUUGUAGUCAAAAUUUAUGUAACUUAAGUUGAAACAUGUACUUGAAAUUAUUCAUCAAAUAAGGCGUCACUCUGUAUUGGAAUUAGCAUAUUUUUUUCUUUAUGAAGUGGUUAACAUUUCAAGAAGGUACCAAAAUAGUAUAAGAUGUUGUAGGCAAAUAUCACUGACAAAGUAUGGCCGUUGGUUGAAAUCUAGAUUGCCAACUUUAAAAAUCUCCAUUUUCACAUUCAAACAAAAGUUUGCCCUAUUAUAGUCAACAAUUUUGUGACGACCACCCCCCCCCCCCCCCCCCGAAUAAAUAUUAGUGAAAAUUUGUAAUAUAGGACUUGCUACUACAAUUUUAAGCAUCGACAAAUUUACAUUAUUGUAAAGGGAAGUAAAUUAGUGUCUAAAUAGAUGUACAUGUACAUGAAUUUUAAAAACAACUUUUAAAUAUUUAACAUUUAAAUAUUUUGUAAAUAAAUAGGGACCUAGUGUACAAGCUAUGAUGGAAAGUACAUUGAAUAAAUGUCUGAAUUUGAGAACCAGAA